AGACCUUCCAGAUUCAAGAUAUCAAGUGGAUGAACAGGCGGGAGAGUCAGGUGGAAGAAGGAAUUGAAACACAGGAAAAGUAAUGGAUUGACCUAAAGUGAAGAAGUCAGCUGGGGUCUCUGCUCACCAGUCAUUCAAGGAACCGGCCUGACAAGGCAGCCACCACCUCCAACCCUGAAGGUCUCCCAGGAUCAGGGAAGAAAGAGACACGGAGUGCUCGCUCCAGCAGUUCAACACUUAACCCAGGAGGGUCACACAUCGCUUCCACUCCCUGUGCAUUGUCCACGACAAGUUCAUGGUCCCACCGCCCACGGAGGGACCUGGCAGUGUGUCCACUAUGAUGACCACACGUGGAGACUAAGACAAGACCCAUUGCCACACGAGGCAGAAUGGGGCGGAUGGUAAGCUGUGUGCCACCGUUAAAGGGGAGGGAAAUAAUUUCCAUUUGUGGGCUCAGGAAAUGCUUUGUGGAUGAAGGAUGGACUUUUUGAGAUGAGUGAGACUGCAGUAGGCAAAGAUUGGGUGUAGGGUGGGAUGAAAACCUAGACUGAAGGAAGAUUGAGAGCAGGGGUUCAGGGUGGGCAAGAAGCCUGCCACUGAGGGAAUAAUACAACACAGGGUUCCCGCGGGUGCAUAGGAAGGACGAGGUGGGAGGCUGGACUGAGUCCGCAUGGAGAAAUCUGUUGUCAGUUGGGUGGCCUGUGGAAGGUCCUGGAGGCGGCGGCUGGGACAUGAUCAAACCUGUGCUGUGGCUAGUUUCUUGGGACAGCGGCACAGAGGGACUUGAACUUACGACGUCAGGGGCAGGUGCGAGGCUAUUGCAGUACCUUAGGUGAGAGAGCAGGGGCCUGGGCCGGGGGAGCCGAUGAGGGGAGGGGUCUGAGACAUAAGGUGGACACCCCCAGAACCCUGGAAUCUGACUUGUUAUGGGGCUAGAUAAUCAAAUGUAAUCAGAGGGAGUGGGUGAAGGAAAGAACAUGCCCUGAUUUCAAGCCUGCAUGAGGCUCUUGGAUGGAUCAACGGCACUUCCCAAGAACCCCGGGGCUGUGUCUAAAGGAAGAUCAAGCCAAGUGUUGCUUCCACAGAAGACAGUGAAUGUGCUCCUGGUCCCACAGAUGCUGAUGUGGGCAAGAGCUUCCUGCUAAACCUAUUAAAUAUUUUCUUCUCCCAGGAACAUUUGAAUUAACUCAUAAUUUAUUUACUAAGUGUGCUGUAGAACUUGUGUGCUAACACUCAUACAUUGACACUGAC